rnacentral:rRNA from 1 species
UUGGAGGGCAAGUCUGGUGCCAGCAGCCGCGGUAAUUCCAGCUCCAAUAGCGUAUAUUAAAGUUGUUGCAGUUAAAAAGCUCGUAGUUGAAUUUCGGGAUCAAUACGUCGGUCGUGCUUUCGGGUACGUACUGGCGUCAUUGGUUUCUCCUUUCUGACGAACCAUGAUGUCAUUAAUUUGGUGUUAUGGGGAGUUAGGACUGUUACUUUGAAAAAAUUAGAGUGUUUAAAGCAGGCAUUAGCUUGAAUACAUUAGCAUGGAAUAAUGAAAUAGGACGUUCGAUCCGAUUUUGUUGGUUUCUAGGAUCAACGUAAUGAUUAAUAGGGAUAGUUGGGGGCAUUAGUAUUCAAUUGUCAGAGGUGAAAUUCUUGGAUUUAUUGAAGACUAACUACUGCGAAAGCAUUUGCCAAGGAUGUUUUCAUUAAUCAAGAACGAAAGUUAGGGGAUCGAAGACGAUCAGAUACCGUCGUAGUCUUAWCCAUAAACUAUGCCGACUAGGGAUCGGAUGAUGUUAAUUUUUUAAUGACUCAUUCGGCGCCUUACGGGAAAC